UACAGAGGGUGCUAGCGUUAAUCGGAUUGACUGGGCGUAAAGCGCGCGUAGGCGGCCAAUUAAGUCAAAUGUGAAAUCCCCGAGCUUAACUUGGGAAUGGCAUUCGAUACUGGUUGGCUAGAGUGUGGGAGAGGAUGGUAGAAUUCCAGGUGUAGCGGUGAAAUGCGUAGAGAUCUGGAGGAAUACCGAUGGCGAAAGCAGCCAUCUGGCCUAACACUGACGCUGAGGUGCGAAAGCAUGGGGAGCAAACAGG
rnacentral:rRNA from 1 species